rnacentral:rRNA from 2 species
CCUACGGGAGGCUGCAGUGGGGGAUAUUGCGCAAUGGGGGAAACCCUGACGCAGCAACGCCGCGUGAAGGAAGAAGGCCUUCGGGUUGUAAACUUUUGUCUUUGGGGACGAUAAUGACGGUACCCGAGGAGGAAGCCACGGCUAACUACGUGCCAGCAGCCGCGGUAAUACGUAGGUGGCGAGCGUUGUCCGGAUUUACUGGGUGUAAAGGGCGUGUAGGCGGGAUAGCAAGUCAGAUGUGAAAUACCAAGGCUUAACUUUGGGGGUGCAUUUGAAACUGUUAUUCUUGAGUGUCGGAGAGGGAAGCGGAAUUCCUAGUGUAGCGGUGAAAUGCGUAGAUAUUAGGAGGAACACCAGUGGCGAAGGCGGCUUUCUGGACGAUAACUGACGCUGAGGCGCGAAAGCGUGGGGAGCGAACAGGCUUAGAUACCCCAGUAGUC